AGAGUUUGAUCAUGGCUCAGAUUGAACGCUGGCGGCAGGCCUAACACAUGCAAGUCGAACGGUAACAGGAAACAGCUUGCUGUUUCGCUGACGAGUGGCGGACGGGUGAGUAAUGUCUGGGAAACUGCCUGAUGGAGGGGGAUAACUACUGGAAACGGUAGCUAAUACCGCAUAACGUCGCAAGACCAAAGAGGGGGACCUUCUGGCCUCUUGCCAUCGGAUGUGCCCAGAUGGGAUUAGCUAGUAGGUGGGGUAACGGCUCACCUAGGCGACGAUCCCUAGCUGGUCUGAGAGGAUGACCAGCCACACUGGAACUGAGACACGGUCCAGACUCCUACGGGAGGCAGCAGUGGGGAAUAUUGCACAAUGGGCGCAAGCCUGAUGCAGCCAUGCCGCGUGUAUGAAGAAGGCCUUCGGGUUGUAAAGUACUUUCAGCGGGGAGGAAGGGAGUAAAGUUAAUACCUUUGCUCAUUGACGUUACCCGCAGAAGAAGCACCGGCUAACUCCGUGCCAGCAGCCGCGGUAAUACGGAGGGUGCAAGCGUUAAUCGGAAUUACUGGGCGUAAAGCGCACGCAGGCGGUUUGUUAAGUCAGAUGUGAAAUCCCCGGGCUCAACCUGGGAACUGCAUCUGAUACUGGCAAGCUUGAGUCUCGUAGAGGGGGGUAGAAUUCCAGGUGUAGCGGUGAAAUGCGUAGAGAUCUGGAGGAAUACCGGUGGCGAAGGCGGCCCCCUGGACGAAGACUGACGCUCAGGUGCGAAAGCGUGGGGAGCAAACAGGAUUAGAUACCCUGGUAGUCCACGCUGUAAACGAUGUCGACUUGGAGGUUGUGCCCUUGAGGCGUGGCUUCCGGAGCUAACGCGUUAAGUCGACCGCCUGGGGAGUACGGCCGCAAGGUUAAAACUCAAAUGAAUUGACGGGGGCCCGCACAAGCGGUGGAGCAUGUGGUUUAAUUCGAUGCAACGCGAAGAACCUUACCUGGUCUUGACAUCCACGGAAGUUUUCAGAGAUGAGAAUGUGCCUUCGGGAACCGUGAGACAGGUGCUGCAUGGCUGUCGUCAGCUCGUGUUGUGAAAUGUUGGGUUAAGUCCCGCAACGAGCGCAACCCUUAUCCUUUGUUGCCAGCGGUCCGGCCGGGAACUCAAAGGAGACUGCCAGUGAUAAACUGGAGGAAGGUGGGGAUGACGUCAAGUCAUCAUGGCCCUUACGACCAGGGCUACACACGUGCUACAAUGGCGCAUACAAAGAGAAGCGACCUCGCGAGAGCAAGCGGACCUCAUAAAGUGCGUCGUAGUCCGGAUUGGAGUCUGCAACUCGACUCCAUGAAGUCGGAAUCGCUAGUAAUCGUGGAUCAGAAUGCCACGGUGAAUACGUUCCCGGGCCUUGUACACACCGCCCGUCACACCAUGGGAGUGGGUUGCAAAAGAAGUAGGUAGCUUAACCUUCGGGAGGGCGCUUACCACUUUGUGAUUCAUGACUGGGGUGAAGUCGUAACAAGGUAACCGUAGGGGAACCUGCGGUUGGAUCACCU
rnacentral:rRNA from 1 species